GACGAACGCUGGCGGCGUGCUUAACACAUGCAAGUCGAACGGAAAGGCCCUGCUUUUGUGGGGUGCUCGAGUGGCGAACGGGUGAGUAACACGUGAGUAACCUGCCCUUUACUUUGGGAUAACUUCAGGAAACUGGGGCUAAUACCGGAUAGGAGCUCCUGCUGCAUGGUGGGGGUUGGAAAGUUUCGGCGGUUGGGGAUGGACUCGCGGCUUAUCAGCUUGUUGGUGGGGUAGUGGCAUACCAAGGCUUUGACGGGUAGCCGGCCUGAGAGGGUGACCGGCCACAUUGGGACUGAGAUACGGCCCAGACUCAUACGGGAGGCAGCAGUGGGGAAUAUUGCACAAUGGGCGGAAGCCUGAUGCAGCAACGCCGCGUGCGGGAUGACGGCCUUCGGGUUGUAAACCGCUUGCGCCUGUGACGAAGCGUGAGUGACGGUAAUGGGUAAAGAAGCACCGGCUAACUACGUG
rnacentral:rRNA from 1 species